CCAGAAGAGUCACUGGUAAGGAGCAUAAAGAGUUGUGUCUGGAAGAUCCCAGGAUGACCCAGGUAAUCUGCCCGUAGCAAAGGAUGCAUCUUGCAAUGCCCAAGCAGUCAUGAUUUUGUCAGGGAAGUUUCUAGGCAUGAAGACUCACGUUGUUGACACAGGGCUUCUUUCAGGAGCUUGUACUUCUCAUUUAAUAGUAGGUGACUACUACUAUGGUAGCUGGUCAUUUAGUAAUCCAGUUUUAAAAUGGAUUGUUUCUUUGUGAUCUUAAGUUCUGUUAGAUUAGUCAACUCUUAGAUUGACUUUAUGGAAAUAAGUAAGAUUUAAUUGGAUUCCAGAGAACUGAAGACUAUGAAUAUGGGAGUGAUAUUGUUAGAAGUUUUAUAGUUAUUUGAAAGCUGUGAUUUAGAAUCAUUAGUUUGAGCACUACAGAGAAAAACAGUUGACAUAGUAUAGGAUAGAAGUACACAGAGGAAAACCUGGUUACUUUUAAGAGAUAAACGAAGAUUAAUCUUAUGGCAAAAGUGCCUACAGCAGACCCAUAAAGGACCAGAUGAGCAAGACAGAUUGCCAUAAUUGGAUACAAACUAGUCAAGAUCUGUCUGAGCUUGGGGCUUACCUUUGUAGACAAAAAUGGUUUCUUAUGAGUGGAACUUUUUAAUGACUCAUUGGGCAUGGAGAUUUACAGAUGUUUGUGUUUUUAGAGCAUUUAUUUAUUCCAGUUUGGUCCAUUAACAUUCAUUUUUCUUGAUUGGUUUUAAGAACAAUUUUAGUUUCUGUCAUUUACAGAGCUAUUUCUUUGAUGAUUUGAUGUUCCUUCUUAUUUGGGUUUUUAAAGUCUUUUUCUAUGUGGUUCUUUAGUCACUUUAUAGGUUUUUAGCUGACUUCUUUAAUUCAACUUCUGAUGUGAUGUGAUAUUUCCAGAAUACCUUCACGGAUCAUGGGACCUUUGAAUCUCAAGGUUGGGAAGGUCUGUAAUCUCUAAUCAAACUGUCAGUUUGAUGUUUGAAGCCUCUGUAUGAUUUUCUGCUUCAGGCAUAUGUGAUAGAUUUUUGAUAGUUAUAUUUUACCAAAAAGCAGGAUUUUGAGACUUUGUGGCUAUUCUAUCAUCCUAACAGCAGUCACUUGCACAUAACCAAGUGGUCAGAUCUUAGAAUAACUGAAGGCCAACCAGUUAUCUGAUGCUGAACUGUUAACAAGCUCUUCAGUAACCCCUGCUGCAGGGUACUCUGACCUUUAGCUUUACACUUGCUAGAAGGUAGAAACACAGAUGGGUGAAUUUAGGGCCCAGAUUAUAGCAUGCUCAUGUUCCUAGAGGUUCCUCCCUGAUCUUAAUUUUUUCAAGGACCAGGGAAUGUUGGAGGUUGAUAGUUAUGGGGAAACCUCUUGGCUUUCAAAAGCAGUCUUAGAUCCAGGAGCGCCUGUUUGUAAGUGCUGGGAGGAGUUUUCUAUCAGUGUUCUUAAUGAUAGUUCUUAAUAUCUUUUGCACUUACAGUUUGAAUAGGGAAUUUGUGUGACUUAGGUUUGACCCAGAAAAGCCAAGUAAUGGCUUCUAAUAGGCUUUACUGAGUGUUGUUGACGUUACAGUUAGUUCCCUAAGCCCUAGGGCUUAGGAGACUCAUCAUUUUGCUAGCAUGUGUAUCCUUCUCUAGUGAGUAGAUUCAUGUAAAACAGUACUGUAAGACACAUGUGUCAACCCAGAAACUAAUUUAUGAAAGAUUUAAUUUACAUGAAGACUGGAAAAAAUUUUGUGGCUUAAUAGCAUGGAGAGAUCAUUCCAUAUGCAACAUCUACGUGGAAUAUGCUGACCAUGGGAUCUCAACUACUGGCUUCAUGUCCCUGCUGUAGAAUUUGAUGGCUGUGUGACUUAGGCAUAUUACCAAGUGUAUUUCUCCUCCUCCUCCUCCUUCUCCUUCUCCUCCUCUUCUCCUCCUCCUCUCCCUCCUUCUCCUUCUUCUCCUCCUCCUCCUCCUUUUCCCCCUCCCCCUCCUCCUCUUCCUCCUCCCCCUCCUCCCCUCCCCUUCCCCCUCCUUCUCCUCCUCCACCUCCUUCUUCUUCUUCUUGGCAUUGAACCCAGGCCCUGCCUACCUUAAGUAUGUACAAAUUUUUUACUUUGUUAUACCUCAAUAAAACUGAGAGAAAAGUUAAGAUGUAAGGAAUGCUUUCAUUUCUUAUCGCAUUACAUUUGAAAAUUGCUAUUAAUUUGUUUCUUUACCACAGUUGACUGCCCAUCUGUGUACUGGUUUAUUCCCUCUGGUUGUAUUUCCUUUACAACUUAGUUUUUACUUUUCUGACAUACGUUUUAGAAUAUGUACAACACAUGGUAAAGAUGUUUGAGAUGACUAUGGGAAUUCACUUUCUUUUAUACCUUAUGGGGAAGAUUUUCCUCACAGUAUACUGGAAACAGUACAUUAGCAAUGACUUAAAGCCUAAUUUUAGCUAGAAAUUUAAUUCUCUUUAACAGGAUAUUCAUUCCUACCUUACAUGGAAGGCAAUCAUGACAGCAGAUUGUACUCCUAGGAAGAAGAGGAGCUAGAAUUCGAACCCAGAUUUGAAUUCCUCUUCCUGAUUGUACCAGUUUACUUCUGUGACAUCGCCUGUGCAGCAUUCUUCAAGACUUGGAUACAGGGCAUUGCUUUUGGCAGACAGGUUUCUAAUAAAGUUUAAAGUAGAUAGAAUGACUUAAACAUUUUUGUUAGUUUUGAUACUGUAGCUCUUUAUAGCUGAUGUAGUUCCAAGGAAGUAGAGAAAGACUAAUCUGGAGAAAUAAGAGCCAAUAUUUUAUUUUUCCCAUAAUUAAAUAACAUUGAAAAUCAGCAAGGGAAAAUGUAUUAUGAAUCAAUUUAAUAAUUAUACAUUCUUCUGAUACUCUUACAUUUGCAUAUGCUAUUUUACUUAGCCAUAUAACUAGAAGAUUGAUGAAAAUUCAUGUCAUGUUUUUGUCUUUGUUAUUUUGAGACAUAGGCAUGCUAUGUAGUGCAGGCUCGCUUUGAACUUGCUUAUAUAGCACAGGCUAGGCAUGAACUCACAGCCGUCCUUCUGCCUUAGCCUCCCGAGUGCUGGGAUGACAGACAUGCCCCACUGUGCCUGGCUCAUGUCAUGUUCUUUGAUGGAAUUUCUUAUUGAAAUUAUUUUGAUAUGUUACUAUACAAUCUUCAUAAUUAUUUAUUCAUUGCUUAGUAUCCCAUUCUUGUAUUAAACUGUUUUCUAUUAUUGUCUAAUUUCUAAUUAUUUCUCAUAAUAGAUAGCACUGCACUGAACAUAUCAUGUGGAGCUGUUAUAAUGGAUUACUUCCUUGGACUAGCCAAUUUAUGUUCCUUUAAGUAUCAGCAGCCUUCACCAGUGCUGCCAGACUUUGCUUGCACUAGUUUUUCAGUGGGAGUAUUAUCCUGGCCCAGAACUCAUAUAUUCUGGUUAUUGGAAACAUACUGAGAAAGAGGUUGCAUUGUCUGCAUCUAAAUUUCCCAGUGUAUAGAUGACCAAAUAAGGUUUGGAGUGUUUCCCAAGAAAGACUCAAAGUAAUCAUGCACAAAAGACUAGACUUUAUUAACAUUUCCAAAACUUACUUAAAUAAGAAUUUUAUUCUCAUACCACCCAUUAGCAAACAUCUUUGGAAACGCUAGUCCAAAACUGCAAUGCAAAAUCAUUUUUAGGUAAAUGAUAUCAUGCAGAUCUGUUUUAACAUCAUGCUAUUCCAAUAGCAAGAGAUUUAGCCCUGUUCAUUCAUUUAUGAGAUAAUUACUGAGAGCGUACUACGUGCUAUGCAUUUUUCAACUAAUGGUGGGUAGCAAAGAACACAGUCAACAAGUUCCUGGCCCCAGAUGCACCAUAAAGUGGGAAAAAUAAAUGUCAUAUAUUCAGUUUAGCAGGAGAUUUUGUACAUAUUGUUUUUCAUCAAAUAGGUUCUCAUUUGAAGAAUAUUUAGGUACCUUCUAUAAACAAUCCUGCUUGCUGAUUUAAACAAAAAAUAGGCAUAUCAACUGGGGAGACAUUUAUAUAAUGAUAAUUACUGUGGUAGUGACUAUACACACUGAUGCAUAAAAGAAGGGAACCUAAUACAAGUUUUGGGGGUUCCUAAAUUUUUUUUUUAACUACAGGAGGUAUUUAUUUCACUUAAGAAUUCUUAGGCCACUACCAUAGAAGUGAAAAUAUAUUUAUUUCUUGGCAUAACUGCUGUGAAUAUCUUCAUUGACUAAAAUAAUACCUAAUUUUUAUUAAAAUACAUUUAUUCAUUUCUAGCCACAUCUACUAUGUUAUGAUUGGUGUAAUCUUAUGUUCCCUUUUAUAAGUCUCUUCCUAUGUGUUCCAUCAUAUAAGGGUGGAGUAAGAUUCUUAUAUUGGAUACUGAUGCAAUUAAAAAAUUAUGUAUAAUAUAACAAGACAAGUCAGGAAAUUGAUUAUGUAUAGUCUGUUGUACACGACUUCUUUGAGGCUGUAUUGAGAGACUGUCCAAAAGCUAUUUGAUCAUUCAUUCACUAGGAGACACUGCAAAGUAGAGUCUGAUCCUGUCAGUCUGCCCACGUAUCAUCAGGCAGUAAAGUUUUGACGCUUAUAAGAUGUGAUGAGACAUUAUGAAGCCCAUAAAAAUGCAACUGUGGAAAAUUAAAUAGUAAUUUUAAAUUUAAAAGUUUGUUUACCACUGAUUUAAGAGAAAGACAAGCUCAGAAAUCCUGUAUGUGGAUUGCAGGCAAGGCUUGUAUGUGUAAUUUGGAUGGUGAUGAUGAUGGAGGUAAAAGCUAUUAUUAGCUGGAUUGCAGAGCUGGCUUAACUCUGCCCUGUAAUUACCAUGUGCCACAUACAAGAAAGUCACUGAGAAGUCUACGAAGCCACGAUUAUUUUUUAUAGUGGAACUGAAGGAAGAAUGAAGUCAUUGGCAGCAUGUCUCCCUGUGAUCUUCCUAUCACCGUGUAAAUACGUAACUCAUGCAACAGCUGCCCUUAGCAUUUCCCCCUUUCCCUUAAACAGAUGAAUGUUUGUGAUUUAGCAUAAAGUUCAUGAACUAAGAAAAGCAAUUGGACACAGACGCCUGUGUCUUUCCACUCAAUGUAUCUUAUUACCUUUAACUGCCCGCUGAAACUAUGCUUUUACUUUUACCUUUCCGAUAUAAAUUGCUAUCACCAGGCUUAGCAAAUGAAACGGAUUACUUACGGCAACUGUAAGUAGUUAUACACUCCACGUCCUUGACAGAGCUUUCCCAUAGGACAGGUAAUGUCUUUCAAAAAUCCUAUUACAGGGUUUUAUUUGUAGGUACAAUGAACAGAAGGCUGAAAGCCCCCAUGUUUUAUUGCUACCCAGCUUCAUCAUGUCUGCUCUAUUGAAAACUGGCAAAAUUGAUACACAUCAGCUCUUUUAUUCUUUUGUUACUACUCUGUGCAAAUAGAAGCAUACUGAGGAAUUUAAUGAAGCAGUAGUCCUUCGAGAUUUGAAGGUUCUAAGUGUACAGCUAUUUUGUCUUCAACACUGGAGGUUUUUGUGUGAAACAAAUUGGCAGGAGCAAAAUAAAGUUCUCACAGUUAGCCCAGUGUCUGCCACACGUGUGCUGAAUCAUACCACUGUGUGGAAGACUGAUCUUGGAGACAGAUGAAUUCAGUGGUGAAUGUAGUGGCUUUUUGAGUGCACAGGAGUAGAUGGAGAAGGGAAAACUGUAGCAAAGCUGUGGAGCUAUGAGUCUAUUUUUGGAAAUGGUCUGUUUAUUCAGGAAAUAGAGACUGUGCUGUUUAAGAAAAAUACAGUUGAGGGUAGACUAUUCAACAAAUUACUCCACACUACCCCAAAACAUUUCUAGGAAUCUGUGCUGAAUGAGAAGCCACAUAUUAACUUGCUAUGGCCUUCAUCGUCAUAAUUGACUUUUCACUACUGGACUUUUCAAAGGCGUCAGCAAUGAAGCUUUGCUGUGAAGAUCUAAGCACAUGUGAUGGUAGCAUGCUUCUGCUUCAGGUUAUGUACAAUUCAUGGCUACCAGUUGAAUUCUUAUUGCUGACCUAUCAGAAAGCAUUUGUCAGUAGCCUUAUUACAAGGAUAAUUUCGAUUCUGCUUAAAAUUAGAAGCCUCCAUAUUUUAUUAUCAAUAAUGAAUAGCUGUAUACCUUCAAACUGAUGAAACCAAGGCAUAGAGGUAGUGGUAUAGUUGUGAACUGCACCCAAGUAAAGUUGGACAUAGGCUUGCUCCUUGCUGUUUGCAGUUUAACCCUGUCUGUAUACUACUUUUCUUCCUUUGCAUCAGCCACCCACAUUGCCAUUUUUGUUGUUAUUGUUGCUUUGAAUGUAGGAGGAAAUAGUUCUUUGGAUCACUUUGGGGGAAUAACAAGGGAGUUAUUAUCAAGUCAGAAAUUUCAAGUUGCAGUAAUAUAUACAACCAGAUGGUGCUUAGUUCAAAGUUAGUAGGUAUCUCACCAAUGACAUCUAUUUAAAAAUAUUAUAGGAGCUUAGUAAAUGUAGCCCUGCACUAAUUGUGUUAGAAGGAAGCUAUUUUCUUUAUUUCCAAAACCUGUUCCUAAAUGAAGCUAUAUAAUAUUUCAGUAUAUAAAGAAAUCUUGAUGGAAAGUGAGAAAUAACUGAUUAAAAAAAUUUAGUGUUCUGUUUGUUUACUACUUGACAUUUUUCAGUGGAAAAAUUCUUAUUUGGCAGUCAAUAUUCUCCAGAGCUAGCAAGAUUUUUUAGUGUGUUUUGGGGCAAACAACACAUUCUGUUUCAGACACUGCAGGAUCACUUUAGUGUUUGCCUCAGAAUACAAGCUGGAAAAGUUUAUGAGGUGAUUUCAACAGAUCUCAUAAAUGUUUUCUGGAUGGUGCCCCAUCUCUGUUUCUAUGGUAUCUUUUCAUGUCUCCGUUUUGUCAUUGUCUGCAAUAUCAUUGUAUUGGCUUAUGUCUCCCCCAGUAAGCAACAGCCCAGUGAGGGCAGGAACUAUUUUACCUGUCUUUGAAUCUCUAAUAUUUUGCACAGUGCUCCGUGCUUAUUUGAAGAAUUAAAGAAAUAUCUGAAAAUCAAACCGCUUUUUUGAGCACGUAUUUCAUAAUUUUGAAGCCAUGCUUACAAAAAUCUACUAUAUCAAGGGGAGAUGAAGAGUAUCAGGGAAUAAUUAUCUUACUAUAAGAAUCUUUUGGCAAACUUUGUUCGUCGUAAGAGAAAGUCCACAAACUGUAGGCACAGAGUAUCAAAAGGAGGACAGUUUUUACCCUUAGAUAUUCUUGAGUAUCUUCUGGCUCCUAGGGUUUUGAACCCUGUUUGCCUCCAUGUUUGAGACCUGGUCAAUUCUUUUUAUCUUAAGUCUGGAUUGUAGCUGUUGCCUGUCUGGUCUUUUUAUAUAUCCCUAGUCCUUCUUUCCCUGCCUAACCCUGUGAACUAGAUUCAGUCUGGAAGACAUUUUCCUAUGUAUUUGCUCCCUGGUCUUGGCUCACCUUCUCUGCCCUGUAGUUGCUGACGUCCUCCAGUGUCACGAGUAGCUGGUUAAAACGUACCAUUUAUAAAAAGUACAUAUAUAAAAAGUUAGGUUAAAACUUCUUACAGAUUUCUUUCCUAAAAACUAGAUAUCCCUACAAAGUAUCAGAUUCUCUACAGGGCCUUGGAUUUAGCUAUUAUGGCUCAUGGAUGUGGAGUCUAUUAUACAGUUGAACAGCACUAUGACCUCUAUAGUAGAAACUACAGAUGCUGCAAAAUUAGAUAUUUAAGAAAAGGAGAUAUGUAUGCUAUGCAAAAUGUAGGAAACAAUGUGAAGAUGUUAAACCAUUGUUCCUGUUUAAGGAUAUGAAUAUAAUAUAAGAGGUAGAUGCCAGCUCUAGUCUGACUUAGAAGUCCAUUGUAGUACAGAUUGAAUAUCCCUUUUCCAAUAUGCUUGGGAACAGAGCAUUCAAGAUCUUUGUAAAUUGUGGAAUAUUUGCAUAUAUUGCAUAAUGAAAUAUUCUGGGAAUGAGACCUACACAUAAACAUGAGGUUCAUUUAUAUUUCAUAUAUACCUUAUAUACAUAUGCCAAAGGUAAUUUUAUUCAUUUUUAAUAUUAUUGUGCCUGAAAGAAAGUUUUACAGUGUAGAGUUUUUCACUUGUAGUACUAUAUCAGCACUCAAAAAGUACUAUAUCAGCACUCAAAAAGUGAAUUUGGAACAUUUCAGAGUUUGGAAUUUUGAACUGAGGAUGUCCAACAUAUAUUACAAGUUGUAAUUCUGACUCCUAGAUUAUUUACUGUAUAUGAAUAUGCACAAAGGCCAUAUACUGGCAAGCACAAGGUCCUGAGUUUGAUUCCCAGUACCAAAAACAACCAAAAAGACCAUAUAAUGUAAUGCUAUUAUACACACAGUAUAUAUAUUGACACUCUUAUUUUAUGUAUAGAUAUUUACAAAUUUUAUGGAACAUUUCAAAUUUUUAUUUUGGCCAUUUUUGGAAAUCAACCUUUCUUUUUAUACUUUCAGAUUUUUCUGAUAUCUGGUUAUAUUAAAGAACUUUAACUUUUCUUAUAGUUCACAUCUACUAAUAAAUUCUCUCAGCUUAAAAUCCAAAAAGGUCUUCAUUUCUGAGAAACAUUUCCUAUUAGUGGAGAUUCUAGGAUAGUAGUUUGCAUUUUGUUUUCCUUUUAGAAAUUUAAUCAUUCCAUUGUUUUCUACCUUGCGUGAUUUCUAACAAGAAUAUAACAUGUUUUUUUAAAGCUCUUUGGCUGACUUCAAUAUGAUCUUUGUAUCUUUGAUUUCUUUAAACAGUUUGAAAAUAGGUGCAAGGAUGUGUGUUAUUUAUCUUUCUUGGGAUUCGCUAACUCCUUACAUCAGUAAUUCCUUUCCUAUUUUUUGGAAAAUUUUCAGUUAUUAUUUCGUCCAGUACUUCCUCUUCUGUAUUCUUUUUCUUGGGGUCCAAUUAGAAAUACAUUAGAUCAUGUGACACUGUCCUACAGUUCUUGGAUGCUCUACUUCGAUUUUUAAAAUUCCACUCUUUUUGUGUUUCACUUAGAGUAUUUGUUUGAACUUUUAUUGAGUUCACUGAUUCUUUCCUUGGCUGUGUUUAGUUUAACAAUAAGCCUGAGAAAGGCAUUCUUUAUCUCUGUUACCAGGUUUAUUUUUAUUAUUAUUUUUUAAAUUUAUAGCAUUUCCUGACAUCUUUCUUAUCAUUUCUAUCUCUGUUAGCACUUGAGGAUUUAGGUUUCAGGCAUAAUUUUCCAUGAACUUUGGUUUCCUGUUCUAUAAAAUAGGAUGGAUAAAGUAAAUAUAUUCCCUUUGCAUGAGUCCUUUCUCCUUUCCUGAGUCUCAGUCAUUCCUAUUCAAUGUUUGGACUGCAUGAUUAUUUUCAUUCUUUUUAGUUCCUAAAUUGUAUGAUUCUUCGAAGGCAAAAAGAUCUGAUGUUUAUUGACAGCAUGAAUUAAUCUCACAUACAAUCUGACAGGCAUAAAAUCGCAUUUAAGAAGUACUUAUGAAAAUGUUUUACUUUUUGCUAGAUCUAUGUGGAACUUUAAUUAGAAGAAACAACAUUAAAUCCAGUUGCUACUUGGUUACAUUUGUUAAAAAAUCAUUACAGUUUUUCAACUGUUGGGUUUCUCAAUUCACUUGUGAAAUUUUAUGGCUCAUAAUACAUCUCACUCACUCUCUUUGCAUUUAUAAGAUUUUGAGUUAUUGGCUGGUUCCCACAUUUUGUAAUGUGAGGGAACAUUAGAGGAGGUGAUUGCUUUUCACUGACCAGGGUGAAGAUAUAAUAGUUUCGUUGGAGUUGGCUUUGGAGUCACAAACUUGGUUCCAAAUCUUUGUUACCCAAAUGUAAAACUUUAGGCUGAUUAUUUAAUUUUUGAGCCUGAGUUUCUUUAUCUGUGAAAAAGUGGUGAUGUAAGUAUCACCUCUUUUGAAUGCAAAAGACAGUAGGUAUAAAACUAUGGGUCUAGGGCCUAGUUAAUGGCAUCUGACCAUUGGCAGGAUGAAAAAUGAUAGCUAAAAUGAAAUAUAUCAUCAUUAAGUAAUUUUUAACAAGUCUAAAGGGAAGGGAAGGGAUUUUUAAAAAAUUCCUUUUCAUGGAAAGGGCCACCUGAUAAAAGGGUAUUUUAGCAAUAGGGAAAAGAUUUACUGAAAAGAGAAUAUUGAUAAGCAAUAAUAACUGGAUUAAGGGUUUACUAAGUGACUGAUGCUCAUAUGUUAUCCAUAGGCAACCUAUGAAGUGAGCCACUCCCCCCGCCUCCACUACCAGGGAGCCUUUGUUGGACUGAGGGUGGCCACACUAUCUUUUUGGUGUUACAUUCUACUUUGGAUUCUGAUACUUUUGUAUGUAUAACCCCUACCACCUUCCCACUUUCUCAUCUACAGUGAGAGAUUCUCUAUGUAUUUGGCACAGAAGUGGCCCACGGCAAGUUGUGUUGAAUUCUUUAAAAGCUGACUGUAUUUUAAUUCCCAGGACUGAAAUUCUUCUUUAUAUUAUGGAUGAAAUUUUAAGCAUUAACAAACAGCAUAGAUUAAAAAAAAAAAAAACACUAACAAAAUAGUUACAGUUAAAGAAACUACUCAGCCAACCUGAGGCUUGCUUCUCCUGCCAUUUUUAUUCUUUGUUAAGAUAAAGUAUUUUAAAGUUGCAGUUGCUUUAAUAAAUUACCACAGAGUAAAUAUAAUGAUUUUUGAAGAGGUAUACAGAUUCUGUGUUUGUGAGUAAUUUUACUAUAAUGGGCAUUAUUCAGCAUUGAAAUUAUCUAAUACAAAGAAACAUUCUUUAUUCUCACUGUGAGCUACUGUCUUCUAAAAUGCAGACUGUAAUUCACAUGUUCUCAUUUGAAUAACACAAGCAAUAAUGUCAAAUUAUUUUGCAGUUGUUUUGCUUAUCUUUACAAAAGUGCAUUCCUGAUCAUAGAUUUUUAGAAUUGGAGAAACCUAAGCUCCAGUCUAAUUCCUUCCAGAGAAAUAAAGUGACUUACUUAGCCAUGUAGCUAGCUGACUAAUGACAGGACCAAGGAGAGAACAGUCCUUUAUCCAUCGUGCUACAGCGCUGCUCUGCAUUCCUCUGGUGGGGGAAAAAACCUGCCCACUCAUUCUUGGUUUUUAAUGCUAUCAUCAUGGGACUAGGUUUUUUCCAUGACUAACUAGUGCUCUUUUGUUUUAUUGUGUGGGUGUCUGGGAACAAGCUGAGUAUUUUUGUUUUAACAAUUGAACAUACAAGGAAAUAACAAGGCAUUUGUCUGGUUAACACUUUAGCAGUCAGGAGGGAGUGGUGUAACUCAGUUCUCUGCCCUCCAUGUUGAUUGUCAACUGUUUCAAAGUUGAGUUUCUUAACCUGGAGUCUGAAUUCCCUAAACUUUUUGAAAAUGAUGUAAUAUAUGUUUAUAUUAUAAGGAAGGAAUCUGUAGCUUUCAUCAGGUUAUCACAGGACAUAUAGUAUGAAACUGCUGUUUAAGAAGAAGGUAGAAUUAAGCCUGAUUGUACUCUAAGUAUAGUACUAAUUUUACCAGAGGACUCACUAUCUCCAGCUUCCUUCUGGUGGUACCGUUUCCUAAAGCUUUCCAGACAGCUUCCUGGAUCUUGUCAUGGAAACCACUAGAGGUCUCAAACUUCCAAUUGCAGGAAAGUUUUCCCUAGUGUGUCCUGUUUCUAGGAGAGGGUGUAAGACCCAAGGAUAUUUUGUUCUUUAGAAAACCCAAUUUAAGGAUAAUUUGUUUAGUUACAUUUUAAUUGAAAAGCUAUACGAGCUGAACUGAUAAACUAAGUCUAUUGCAAGUAAGAAAAAGAGGAGUUGGAAUUUCAGUCAGUACUUUGCAAAUUAACUUCUAGAAACUUUCUAGUUCAUCUGUGUUUUAUCUAGAAGCUCUUUUAUUAUAUAUAUUUUCUCUUUUUUUUUGUCUUUUUCAUUUUUAUGGGUACCGGGGAUCGAACUCACGACCGCCUGCUUUGCAAGGCAGGUGCUUAUGCCGCUGAGCUAAACCCCCACCCCCUUGUUGUAUAUAUUUUCUAGGAGCAGAGUGAAAAUCCAUAGAUGGUAGUUUAGGAAUUGCUCAGCUAGUUCAGAAAAACUGAAUAUUCCUUUCUUGAAUUUUAUUUGAAUUAGAAGAACCUACAGCUGCUAGAAAUUCAUUUUGAUAGGCUUCCUUUCCAGAAGAAGAAAGCAUGUUCUAUAAAGGGGAAAAAGUGUGUGUGUGUGUGUGUGUGUGUAAUUUUAAACCUACCAUCUGGAUACACAAAGACAAGAUCAGAGGAGUUUGUUUAUUUGUAAAUUUGUUCAUUUUAAAAAGUCCUGAGUGAGAACACAUCAUAACCCUUAGGUGUGUAGUAGAUGUUGAGAAAUGAAAAUGAUAACUUGCUGUCUUCUGGGGACACAGGGUGACUGCUGAGAAUAGCAAUUCAGCAUGUUUGAUACUGUAGUGGAAAUAUCCGAAGACCACUGAUCUCAGUACUUCGCCUGGCCAGGAAGAAGUGGGGAGUGGAGUCAAAGGGUGCUGGCCAAGGAAGUAAGAUGAACUUCACCUCAAAGGUGACAGUAUUAAGGGUCUAUAGAAACCUGCCUGACAAAGAAGGGACAUAAAUAUGACUGGUAUAUGUGUGCCUUUCUAAUUUUAACAGGACGUGACAUUUACUGUGCUCUCUGGUUUUUGCAAUUUA